UACGUAGGGGGCAAGCGUUGUCCGGAUUUACUGGGCGUAAAGCGCGUGUAGGCGGUCCGGUAAGUCCGCUGUGAAAGUCGGGGGCUCAACCCUCGAAUGCCGGUGGAUACUGUCGGGCUAGAGUGCGGAAGAGGCGAGUGGAAUUCCUGGUGUAGCGGUGAAAUGCGUAGAUAUCUGGAGGAACACCGGUGGCGAAGGCGGCAUCCUGGACCAACACUGACGCUGAUGAGCGAAAGCCAGGGGAGCAAACAGG
rnacentral:rRNA from 1 species